rnacentral:lncRNA from 1 species
CAGAUUUGCUUCAUCCAGUGUACCUGCCCUUCACUUUGCAAGUAUGCAUCAUCCCAGCCUACAAAGUAACAAAGAAGUUCUAGUGACUUCCGUGAAAGCAUCCAUUGCCUUUGUGGCUUUCCAUUUUUUGUGAAUUCUAUAGCUUGAGGUGUUAACUGUUCAUUUUGUUUAGCUUCUGCUGGCUCCAAAGAAGAACUCUGUUACCUGCAGCCUCUCCUGGGUUUGAGUGGAGAUGGUGUGUAGAUCGGCGGGGGUUUCUUGAUGGAGCUACUGAAGUUACCAUUUACAGAUGCCUCCCAGCAGCCUUAAUGACUGUUGCCAAGAAAAUGCUCAGCCAUCCCCCAAUAGCAGCCACAGGGCAAAGCCAGAAAGGGUGAGUUUUUACCCUUCCUAGCCUUUCUAACAUGAAUUCUUCCCAACAAGGAAUCUAAAGAACAGUGUGAACUGAAGGGAUCCUAUGAGACAUUAAAAUCACAUCUGAGAGCCCUGGAAAGAAAUUUGGAUUUGCAUUCUAAAUAUUCCUGAUCCACUUGUUUGUUGCUUGGCUGCUUUAUAUUUUCCAACGUCAAAAUCAGAAGAGCCAGACACUCAUUAUUCAGAGAACUCUUCUGAAUACCAGUUUAUGGAUGAAAUAGACAGGGCUAACACAUAUAAAAUAGAAUGAAAUUUAUUCCCGGAGGCUAAUGAACCUUUGUUUGCUAUUUUAAUAUGCUGUGCUUCCUGGGUCAAAUUAAUCUCAAACGUGUGUUAGUAUAAGAUUGCUAAGUGUAGAUCACUCUAAAGACACGGGAGGCAUUUGAAAUCCAGAUAAUCCUAGCAUAUAGACAUAAGAAACAUAACCAAAGAAAAAUAAGGGAUUACUUUGAAGUCUACCCAAAUCAAGUUCUCUAACUCUCCCAAACAUUGUCUACAUAUAUAGAUCACAAGGAACAGCAACAUUCCAAAUAAUCUGGACACUAGAAAAGGCAGCUCCUAUAAAAUUCAAUGCCAACAAAAGGAGGAAAUAUUACUUUUUUUCCUUUAAUGCGGCUAUGUUGACA